CUCUUAUCAAGAGCGGCGGAGGGAAUGUGCCCGAUGAAGCCCGGCAACCGUCUUUUAAAAGAAAAGGUGCCAAAUCACACGAAGCAAUAUGCUCCGGGAGAUGAGAG
rnacentral:ncRNA from 1 species